GCCUGGCGCUGCUCUGUAACUCGCCUUUGUUAUUCCGAGCUCUCCGGCUGACACGGGGCAGGCUGCAAUAGGCGGACUGGAUUAAUCCUGACAAAACCUGGAUGCCCGAGAAGUCCCUGAUGUUCUCUUUCCAUGCUGUCCCCAGCUGGUUCCGGCGGUCUCACAGUAUACACUGUAUUACCUCGGUGUAGGGAACUUCUGCACAAAAUGCUGCUAGAGCACCUGCUGUAUUCGACUAGCACUAUAGUGACAGCAGAGAGAGUAUGCGGGUCACAUGACACCUGUCAAGGGGUGGAAUAUAUUAGGCAGCAAGUGAACAGUCACUUCUUGACGUUGACGUGUUGGAAGCGAGAAAAAUGGGCAAGUGCAAGGAUCCGAGGAACUUUGACAAGGACCAAAUUGUGACAACUGGGUCAGAGCAUGUUCUAAGUGGUGUCAGAACACAGAGUACAUUGCAACUUGCUGCAUAGCAGCAUACCAGACUGAUCCUGUUCACCACCGAAAGCUCAUACAAUGUGAACGGAAGAACUGGACCAUGGAGCAAUGGAAGAAUGUGACCUAUCUGAUUAAUUACAUUUUCUUGUCUAAGUUGGGAGCAUGUGUGUUGUUUACCUGGAGAAGAGAUAGCAGCUGGAUGCACAAUGGGAAGAAGACAAGCCAGUAGAGGCAGUGUGAUGAUCUGGCCAAUAUUCUGCUUGGAAAUCUUGAGUUCUGGCAUUUAUGUGGAUGUUACUUUAACAUGUGUCACCUACCUAAACAUUGUUACAGAUCAAGUACACUCCAUUCAUGGCACUGGUAUUUCCUGAUGGUAGUGGCCUCGUUCAGCAGGGCCCCAGAUCUCAAUCCGAUCAAGCAUCUGUAGUAUUUGCUGGAAAAACAUGUCGGAGUCAUGGAGGCCCCAGCUCGCAACUUACAGGACUUGAAGGAUCUUCUGCAAACGUCUUGGUGCGAGAUACCACAGGAGAGCUUCAGAGAUCUUGUGAAGUCCAUGCCUGUUUUGGCAGCAGGUGGUUUUAAUGUUAGAGCUGAUGAACAUGUUUAGCCGUUUAUAUCGAUUGAUAGACAGACAGAUAGAUAGAUAAAAAAUAAUAACAUUAAUUAUACAUGCAUAUAUACAUAUACUAAAUGGCCAAAGGUAUGUGGGCGUGCCCUAAUUGGUUUGUUUCAACAUUUCAGCCAUGGCCAUUGUACACAAUUGUAUAAAAUCAAGCAUACAGUUAUGCAUAAUCAAACAUAAGUGAUAGAAUGGGUCAUACUGAAGACCUCAGCAAAGGUACUGUCAUAGGAUGCCGCCUUUCCAACAAGUCAGUUUGUCAAAUUUAUGUCCUAGUAAGUGCUUUUCUUGUGGAGUGAGUUAUGCCGCACAAGCUCAAAGACUGGUAACACUUACUGCUGAAGCAAGUACAAUUUGUCUACCCUUAGCUGGAACACUCACCACUGA